rnacentral:rRNA from 1 species
UACGGAGGGGGCUAGCGUUGUUCGGAAUUACUGGGCGUAAAGCGCACGUAGGCGGAUUGGAAAGUUGGGGGUGAAAUCCCGGGGCUCAACCCCGGGACUGCCUUCAAAACUCCCAGUCUGGAGGUCGAGAGAGGUGAGUGGAAUUCCGAGUGUAGAGGUGAAAUUCGUAGAUAUUCGGAGGAACACCAGUGGCGAAGGCGGCUCACUGGCUCGAUACUGACGCUGAGGUGCGAAAGCGUGGGGAGCAAACAGG